rnacentral:lncRNA from 1 species
UCCACAGAUUUAACCUUGCUCAAAUCAGCAAGCAGGUUCUAUCUGAGAAGAGGAACCAAGUGUCUUGAAAGGAAUCAACGUAUGAUCUAGAGAGCUUGAAGGGACUUUGGAGAUCAUCUGGACCCAGGUAUUCACUUCAUAGACAACGGGACUUAGGCCCAGGCACUGUACCAGACUUUCCAGAGGUAACGUUACGAGUGCAGAAUGCAGCUGGAUCUAGAAGUUCCAAACCAGUUAUUUGGCUUCUACGUUUGUAUUUAUUUUCAAUUUUCCACACUCAGCUGGGUGGUUAUAUAUUAGACAUUAUAUUGUAUAUUAUAUGUGCAACAUGUAUAUUAUGUGUUUAGUUUAUACAACUUCACCUGCCUGUGGAUAGAUAUGAGGAGUGUUCUAACCCAAUUUCCAUUAUCAUUUUACUGAUGAUGAUUACCACAGGGCACAUUCACAUUGCUCUCUGUUUAAAUUUUGUUUUAAAAGGUUAUCUCAAACACAAAUAUGGCUGGUUAACAACAAAUUAAAAAGGACACAUAACUAGCUAAACUGUAUACCUUGAAUCUCUGACAGCUCACAGUAUUACUCUGUGAAUCUGAUGAUGCAAUAAACAUUUCCCUAGUAAGCAAGGAAAACAGGAGGAAAAACCUAUAGGCUUUAAAGUAAUAUGUGUAUUCAUGUCAAUAACUUGUAAAACAUAUAUUGUUAUUUUGCUACCCCUUUCAAAAACAUUUAAUUUUAAAACUAGAAACAUGAAUUUGUUUAUAGAAUCCCUUUAAUAUGAGGGCCACUUUAAUAAAUGUUUAUAUAAUCUCCUUUUAUUAGUACAUUAUAAUUAUACAUUAAUACAUUAUAAUUCAUACAUGCUCGUAACAUAAUUUACUCAAUCUCAUUCCCCUGCACCUUCCCUUUUCCUCCCAACCUCCCUCCCCCUGAUCUGUUAGUUCUACACUAGUGCUCUCCCUUCUAUUUUCAUUAUUAUUGUUUUAAUUAGUGAGUUAUAAUUAUAUAAUAGUGCUAUUUGCUAUGGUUUAUUUGCACAUGGAUUUUUCUUCUAUGAUUACAUAACCAGGUAGAUUUAGUUCCCCAGCACUUCCUUAUGCCCUACCCUCACCCUCCUUCUUUUACAAUUUGUUUAUGGAACAAUGGAUUUUGAGUUCCUGUCCCCUAUAAGGCACAAGACAAUAAUGCCAGGUGUUGCCCUUACAUAAAUAAAAGUACCCCCAAACUUACAAUACGGGGGUAUAACAGUAAGUUCACCAGGGGAAAUCUUUUGAUAUUUUAAGAUUAGGAAAAAUCCUUUCUCAUUCUGUGUAAGAAUCUUUUCCUUCUUAGGUCUCUGUUUACUUAAUAAUAUUUCUCUUGAAGUAAUUUAGAUACACCAAUUUAGAUAAUAAACUUGAGGCACAAGAGGAACAUAAGAGGAGUUUCUAUUCGCCACAUACUUUUCCUUCAAUCUUUGCUUGAAUUUAUUGUUUAUUUUUACUAUUAUUAGUGACUUAUGGUGAUUGCUUUCUCUAGACCCAUCUGGAUAGGCAAUUAGUCUAAUCAUCAGCUUUUCUUCUAUGAUUAUAGCUCCUUCAACCUCUUGCAAUACUCUUUCAAGGACUAGUGUGGCUCAGUACAUUACUCUUUUUUCUACUAACUAGAGACUCUGUGAAUAUUAUCCUAGCCCUGGGAAAAUCUCUCCAUGAUGAGAUGUAUCUCCAACCCACCUUUUGGUUAAAGUCUCUUAUUAACAUUUAAAUGAUUCUUUAAAUCUGGUCCUCAUAAUGUCAUCUUCCAGCUCCUCCAAGGACACACUGCACUUAUAAAAUGAAAACUGAUUAAAAAGGUAAGUGGCAUCAAAAUAAAAGAGCAACUAUCAUACUCCUACUUAAAUGCACACAAGACCAUGGUUUUUGUCAACCAUGAAAUUGCUGAAAUAAUAAUUUCUUAGGUAGAUUUCUAAAUUUUGUAUUCAUUGCUAAGUCACUUUAAGACUUUAAUAGGAUGCUUUUUGACUGGUAAAAGGGAUUAAUAUUCAAAGCUAAUGCUUAAAUCCAAAGUAAAAAAGCAGAUGGCUAAAAAUCUGAAUGUGGCUAAGGAGAGCAAUCAGAGUUUUGCUGGAAUUGAAUUUUUGUGAAGCGGACUGUUUAAAAUGAUCUUUGAUACUACUUCUGAUAUUGAGAUGAUCAGCCAAAAAUGAGCCACUAGAUUAAAUACAGAGGGCUUUUCAAAUAAGAGUCAGUGAUGAACAAAAAUUAAAGGCAUGAAUUCUGGAGGAAGCCUCCAGGAAGUUUGGACUCUAAUGAUUCCUAACUGUGUGACCUGGACUGAUUUACUCUGUACCUCAAUUUCUCUUUCAAUAAAUCUCAAUAAUAAUCCAUACCUUACAGUGAAGAAAAAAAGAUGAUUUAGUGUUUGGAAAUCUCUUACACCAAUAUCUAACAAUUAGUAAGACUAUAGUAAAGCAAAUUAUAGAUAGUACAGCAAGUUAUGUUAUUAAGGAUGAGAUAAAUAGAAAUUCCCAGUAAAGUCAUUUUUGAAGAAUUUUGCAGUAACAUGCACUGCUAAAAUUUGGAUGUGAGGUAUUCCCCCCAAUAGCUCAUACGAUAGAUAAUUCAGGAAUGUUGAGAGGUGAAAUAAUUAGAUUAUGAGAUCUGUGACCUAAUCAUGGGAUUAAUCCAUUUAAUGGAUUGAUAAUUUGGAAGGACUACUGUACUGGGUUGUAACUAUAGGCAGAUGGGUCAUGGAUGGAGGAGGUGGGCAACUGGGGCCAUGCUCUUGGGGAUUAUAUCUUGUCCCCCGGCUCCACCUCCCUCUCUCUUUGCUUCAUGGCCACCAUGAGCUGAGAAGCUUUCCUCUGCCACAUCCUUGCACUAUGAUGUUCUGCCUUACCUUGGACCCAGAGGAACAGAGCCAGCUGACCAUGGACUGAGGUCUCUGAAACUGUGAGCCAAAAAUAAAUGUUUUGUCCUCUGCAUUGUUCUUGUCAUGUAUUUUAGUUAUAGCUGUGAAAAGCUGACUAACACAUUUUAGUAGAAUCAAUGUUUCAUGAAUUAAUGUAAUUUUAAAAACAUAAAUAGCAAAAAAGCCAAGAAAAUUAUACAAUUAAGCCCCAAUGAUCUUAAAAGUAGAACACCUGAAUUCUACUUCUGCUCAUGUUUGUGAUUUUCAGUAAGUUAUUUAUCCUGCCUUAGUAAAAUAGGACAAAAUAAUAAUGUUUAUAAUAGCAAUGCAUGGAGAAUAAAAUGGAAUAAGAAGAAUAAAAGGUAGAAAAUUGAUUCAGAACUACAGAAAAUACAAAUAGUAUCAUUAGCAUUAUACAAAUAUUGGCUUGGUAGGAAAGUACAGAAAUACGUCAUUCAAGCAAUAAGAGACCAAUCAUUUAAAAGAUUUCUUCUAAUGCUAUUUAAACAUCAUGUGUCUUCCAGCUGAAGAUAAUGAAUUGUGUCUGUUUUUGCUGAAUUCUAUAAGAAAUUUAAUUGAAGUAACAGCUAAAUAUUUGUGUGGAAAUGUAUUCAUUGAAAUUCUAAGAAUGACACAAAGGUCAUUAGUAAUCCAGGGCUUUGAGCAUAUGGGAUCAUAGUGACAGUCUAAAUCUGUUGGGGUGGGUACAUGUGGAAGCUUUUCCCUCUGCCCAGCUAUGGGCUUUAAACUCUAGGUAAGAAGACACUCUGAAUUGGGAUAAUAAUUUAUCAAAGAAUUAACAGUAGGUAUUAAGUCCCUGCUCUCUCCAGCCCACACAUGCAGAUGAGUCAUUCUUGCCCAGUUUAAGAAGGAAAAAUCAUUAACUAAAGCAAGUUUCUCUAACUAUGAGUUAUUACAUGACGGCCUUCUUAAAAAAUUCAAAUAGCUGAUUAAGUUCCCCAUCUACUGAAUUGAGGUUCUGAGGACGGGAAAACAACAUCCCCAUUUUAAACAAAUUUCUCCGAUGAUUUUUUCUUUUUGUCCAUUACAUUUUGGGAACAAAAUGAUGCUAAAAAAGAACCAGCUGACUUGGAGUGGCAAGGUUUGUUCUAGAAUGUAUGGAAAACCUUGAUUCAGAUUCAAUCUCUUAUUCUAACCAAAAUGAAGUAAAAGGGACCAGAGUUACUGUCCAGCCUGGAGAACAAACUAUUUGACAGGUCUUUCAGAUGUUGGCGAGCAGAGUGGGCAGUGCAGCACAGUGAUUGCCGAGAGAGGGAGACAGAUGAGGUUACCUCUGCCUCAGUCUACUGCCCAGUUUCUCAGGGUCAAAGGAGGGAGGCAGGUGAACCAAGGUAAGCGUGUUUUUUUUUUUUUUUUUUUCUGAAAAGAGAAGGUGGAGAUUGGAAACUGGGGACAAAAACUGGAGUUUUCAGACAACCUGAAAAAGAGGGGAGGGAGGGAAGGAGACAGAGGAGUAAGAGAGAAAGAACAAACGAACAACAGUCCAGGAAUUUCAGCUUUCUUUCCCAAGGGUGUCCCUCAUAUUUUUAGCUGAAUACUGAUCAGCCAACAUAUGCAAGGAAAUUCCCUGAAUCCAGAGAAUGAAACUCCAGAGAGCAAAGAUAAUGAUUCCCGGAGCCCACACAGACACACGAAGAAUUUCUUUUCUUAUUGGGAAGGGGAAAUAUAACUCUUGAGGAGCUGGGUAGGACACUCAGAAAGCUCUUCCAUAGAGGGAAAAUAAGAACUUCAAGUUAAGGAUGCACUAGUCCCACCUAACAGUGUUGGCAAAUAAGCCAACAAUUUCCAGGUAAUGUCAGUGCAUACAUAUAUACUCCAUAAAGCUAAAAAUAUUUACAAUAAUAAAAAUAUUUGUCAACUACCACCUUAAAAUUCAAAGUACCUGGCAUCAAGUCAAAAAAUGCCAACCAUGAAAGAUGCAGGGAAGUAACAAGGCGAUUCAGUCAGGGAAGGGAAAGUGUUUCCAAUAAAUGGUGCUGGAACAAUUUUAUAUUCAAAUGUGGAAAUUCAACUUUUACCUCAAACCAUAAAUUAUAAACGUUGCUCCAAGUGUAUCACUGUCAUAAAAAUGAUGACUAAAAAUAUCAUAUUUUUAAGAGAUAACAAGAGAAACAUUUUUAAAGUUUGGUAAAGACUUGUGGAACAUGAUGUAAACUAUUUGAAAAGUCAAUAUAUGGGACUUCAUCCAAACUAGAUACAUAAAAAACAUAUUUGAAAAAUAUAUAACCAACAAAUGAAUUGUUUAUAGAAUAUAUAAAAAUUAUGAUAAUUUAAUAAUAAAAACCCAUCCAAUUAAAAUGGGCAAAAGAUUUGGAAGUUGUAUUAGCUUUUCAUUGCUGUGAGCAAAAUACCUGACAAGAACAACCUAGAAGAGGAAAAGCUUAUUUCAGGAUCACUGGUUUCACAGGUUCAGUUCAUGAUUGGCUCACUUCAUUGCUCUGGGCCCAAGAUGAGGCAGGACAUCAUGGUGGAAAGGUGUGGUAGAGAAAAGCUGCUUAGCUUAUGAUGGCCAGGAAAAAAAGAGAAAGCAAGCAGCAAGGGACAAAAUAUAAUCCCGAGGGUGUGCUCCCAAACCUACUUCCUCUGGCCAUGCCCUGCCUUCCUAUAGUUACCACCAAUAUUCCACUCAAAUUAUCAAUCCAUUAAAUGGGCUAAUCUACUGGUUAGAUUAUAGCUUUCAUAAUCUAGUCAUUUCACCUGUGAAUAUUUUUGUUUCAUCUAUCAUAUGAACUUAUUGGGUGACACCUCAUAUCUGAACUAGAACAGGUAUUUCACUAAACAAAAUUAUAUAUCUAAGGGUUUUUAUAUAUAUGUAUAUAUCCAUAUAUAAAGAAAAAUACAUAUGUGUAUAUAUAUAUGUGUGUGUGUAUAUAUAUAUAUAUAUAUAGAGAGAGAGAGAGAGAGAGAGAGAGAGAAAGAGAGAGAAUCAAUUUAGCUAUCUAUAUAAAAGCUGAAAAAAUGUUGAGCUUCAUUAAUCACUAGGCAUUUAAAUACCAUUACUCUCCCAGUAAAAGACUAAAAUUAAAAGGUUUAUCAAUAUCAAGUGGAUGAUGUGGUGCAAUUUGUUCUUAUACAGUGCUUUUAACAAGGUAAAAUGAUAACCAACUUAAUGAUAUAAUUUGGCAACUUCUCAAAAGGUUAAAUAUUCAACUAUUCCAUUCCUACAAAUUUACAUAGGAAAGGAAAGUUUUUAUCCAUAGAACAAAAAUUUGUAUUUGUAUGUCCACAUAUAACUAGCUAUAGUUAUAAUAACCAAUAACUGGAAACAACCAAAAUGUCCAUCAGUGAGAGGAAAUUUGUGAUAUAUCCAUGUGAUGAAAGGCCACUCAGAAAAAUUUAUAAUAAUAAAUGAAGAAAGAAAAUUAUAAAAGUAAGAAAUGAAAUAUCGACAAAUAAACAAUGCAAAUGAAUCUCACAAUAACUAUGUUGAGUACAAGAAGUAAUCCAAAAAGGAAUAGAAACUGUAAAAUUAUAAAAGUGAAACUAAUCCACAGUGUCAGAAAUUAUAGAAAUGGCUGCCUUGAACUCGGGCAAGUACAGAAUGAAGAAUUAUAGAGGGGACUGAGAAAGCCAUUGAAGUUAAAGGAUUUGUUCAUUCUCUUCAUGGUGGCAAUAGUUUCUGGAGUGGAUUUAGACACCAUACAUCAUCAAAUUUCCACCUACAUAACUUCAUUCAGUAGAAUAAACAAUGGUACAUAUUUAUGACUCUCACUUUCAGCUCUCUCACUUUCUAUCAUAAUAUGGUGGACAUGGAUCUGAAUCAUACACUUCACUAAGCCCAUCAGAUUAUCAGAAAAGAUGAACAAGGAGUAGCAAGUAUGUUAGUAAAGCAUAGGUGCGCUUGGAGUAUGAGACACAAAUGACUCACAUUCAGUAAGCAUUUUAGGGAUUCAGUUGUUUGGGACAUGCCAAGGUUCUGUCUUCCAAAUGUAGGGGAUCAUUAUUGACUCUCACUAUUCCCACCAUUAACAAAGCAAUUCAAAUAUAAAAAUCGGUAGGUGUCUUAAAGUACUGAAUACAGCAUAUUCCAAACUUUUGAUUACCUGUCUAAUCUACUUUCUAAAUAACACAGAUGACUUCGUCUUUGAUGGGUCCCAGAGCUGGAAGGGGCUCUGCAGCAGAUUCAGGCUGUGGUACAAGGUGUCCUGCAGUUUGGUCCAUGCAGUGCCGCACAUCCUAUGGCAUUAGUUAUAACUGUAAUGAGAAAAUCUGUGACCUGGAAUUCAUGGCCAGUUUCAAUAGAAUCAUAGUGUAACAGCAUAGAUCUCUUAGUUCUGGAGGUGGGAAAACUUGUUAUCAAUUUAUAAAAAAAAACUUAUCUGAUUUUUAUUCCUAUACAGUUGUAUAGUACUGGGCUCUGGUGGAGAUUGGGUUUCUGAGCACAGGAAGUGAAAUACCCAGAAUAGAGAGCUAUACAACUGUCUGCUAAGUCAUGAAGUGUGUCACCCACAGCAGAGAGGACACAACUGGGAGUGGGUGCCAGCAACACCAGAUUAUGUCCCUGUCAUGAUAGUCAUCUCUCCCUCAACCCACAUCUAAGGCCAUGCAGAGGGAGGACAUAAAAUAUCACCAUCUUGAUUUAUGGAUGAGUCAACUUGGAAGGUUUCUGCUUGGAUACUGAGAAAGAGUUCCACCAAACUUGAAGCUCUGACUCCCACCUGGUAACUUUGAGCUCCUCAAGUAGAGAAAAGGAGUCACUAUACUCACUGGAUCAUUGACAGUGAUUGGCAGGUGAAAGCACUAUUUUUAUUUCACAACAGAAACAGGCAAGGUCAUGCUUAAUGUUCAGGUGACACAUUUGAUAGGCUCUUGGUCCUACCUUGAUUCUUUACUUAAUGAGGAGUUUCCCGGUCACAGCCAGAGAUUAGCAUAGUGCACAGGGAGUCAGACCUCUGUGCCAAGAGAGGUGGCAGCAAAGAGUGAGGGAAAUAAAGAAUGGGUGGUAAAAGAAGAGAACCAUUCUCACUUGUGAACUUCAGAUCAACUGCCACAGUGGAGACCGGACUUGUCCCACUGACGGUUGUCUUGUAAAUUCCCUGGGAUGCAAGACUAACUGAUCCCUGAGGUUUCUCCACUGUGAGGAACUGACUAUUAAAUGCAGGUGGAAUUGAGGGACACAUUGGCUGACCUUGUGGAAGCUGUGGUGUCAUGACCACUUCUGCUCUUCAGCCCUGAUGCAUCCAUCUCUCAAAUACUUGAGAAUCUGGGUGGGUGACUCUACUGAGUGUUCACUGGAGAUUUCCAAGGGUGCUGCUCUGUCCAAGGUGCCUCUUCCUCCUUGAGGCUGUCAGUGGUUAAUGACUAUUUCAAAUAUACACAGUCUUUCCUUCUUUCCUCAAUCUGAAGGGCCAUGGCUUUCCAUCUUUUUCAAAUAAUACAUAUAAAGUCUGGGGUAGGCCCUUUAGAGCUAAGCUUUCCCUUUUCCACACGCAGAGUUUGUAUUAGCCUUCCAACUCAGGACAACAGGAUAAAGGCUAAUCCAGAAACUAAAGUGGUCCAACCUAUCAUUUUUCAUCAAUCAAGGACUUUAUUUGUAAACAUGACUGAUGCUCAAAGACUACCAGAUUUUUGAAAAAAUGCAACAGCACCAAAAGAAAGAGCAAGAUGAAUAAGCAGUAUAAUUAUUCCUCAAGGCAAGAGAGCUAAUUGGCCGAGAGAAAAGGAGGUCAAACAAAAUGGUAUUCUUGAUCUAGCUGUAAUCCAUGUUUCUAUCAGACCUUCCUCCCCUGAUUACCACUGAGACUGAGAAAAUUUUUACUCUUAUGAGCCAUCUUGUCUGUGUUCUCGUCUGUGAAUUCCUUGUGUAUUUUAUUUGGUAACAUGUUGGUUGUGCCACAUUCAUCCAUUUACCUCGGGGAAAGAAGGUGGGUUGUUCUUAUUUUCCCCUUCUUUUAACUUCAUAGCUCACUUGAUUCCCUUUCUCUUUCUGUUGUGCAAUAUGUUCUUUCUUAAGGACUGUGCUCUUGAUAUUAUCAUAAUGUAGGAGUGAUUUUUGACUAAUUUUGGUGUGAAGAAUGGCUUUUUUAUUUGAGUCUCAACUAAAAAUAGUUUCCCAGUGGUCAGAAACACUAAUUUGUACGAUUCUAUGAGAUGUCUCCCCCUGGCUGUUCUUGAGGACUGUGGCUUUAACAAUCAUCAAUAUUGGCUCAUUUGCCACAUGUGCCUUAAGACAUUCUUCAUGGUACACUUGAGUAUUAGUGGAAUUGAGAAAUGAGAGGGCGUGAGGGAGGGAGGGAGGGAGAGAGAGAGAGAGAGAAAGGGAGAGGAAGAGGAAUUUCUGUGCAAGGGCUCUGGGUUGUUAGGCAAUACAGAAGUAGUCAUCUGGGUAUAAAGAAUGCACAAAAUAAUGGUGACUGUUAAAUAUUUUAGGCCGAAUUCCAAACUAUGUAAUAUGAAGAAAAAUUGAUAUCUCUAGAAAGAUGGUCCCCUGCAAUUCACCUCCUCUGUAUCCGUCAUCCAGAAUCAUUAGAGAGUCUGCUCACACAAGGCAAUGAUUAAGAGGCUAGUCUCUGGGGUUUGUGAAAUCUCAGCAUGGUCUCUUCAAGCAAAUCACUUAACUUUGCAGAAUCCUAGUUCCUCUAUCAUAGAUAGCAAUAAAAUCUGAUUCUGGAGUAUCUGUUUGGAUGCAAGUUAUGAAUGCAAUGCCUAGAACAUAGUAACCUGUCUGUAAGAGUUAAAUAUUAUUUGCUUCAAGAUUAUCAGUAGAUAUUGAGAUAAAUAGACUAAUUCUAUGUCAGUUUUAGAAUCUCUAUAGAAUAACUCUAAAGUUUGGUGUAAAUUAAAGGGGGUAAUUUAAAAUUACUACUGGUAUGUGUCAUAUAACCACCAUUUAGUUUAUCAUUCUGUGAAAAUAGGAAAAUUAGCAUAAAAAUUCACACACUUGCUAGAAGUCCUUAAAUCUUUAUACUUGUAAACUAUAUCAUCCCAAUAGUUGUAUGCAGUUAAAAGAGUGAUCAUUUUCUAAUAAGCUUAUCUUAGGUACACAUUUUGUUAAACUGGUUAAUGUCUUAAUUACCUAAGUUUUCUAGGGAAUAGCAAAACAGAGCUGCCAUGGUCUAUGCUUAAUAGGCCAUGAUUUAAGCAUGGUUAAGCAUGUUCUCUAUAUGGCUCUUUGGUUUCAAGACAUACUUUUAAAGAUGCAAAUUCACUUAGUGUUUUAACCAGCUUUUCCAUCACUGUGACCAAAAGACCUAACAAGAGCAAUUUUAGAGGAGGAAGAGUUUAUUUGGGGCUCAUGGUUUUAGAGACUUCAAUCCAUAAACGGCCAACUCCAUUGCUCUGGGCUCAAGGUGAGGCAGAACAUCAGGGUAUAAGGAUUUGGGGAGGAAAGCAUGUCAGGACUUUGUCAACAAGAAGCAGGGAGGGAGAGAGAGAGAGAGAGGGAACUCCAUUGAACAAGGACAAAAUAUAUACCCCAAAUGACCCACUUCCUCUAACCAUACCCUGCCUGCCAACAGUUACCAUCAAGUUAAUCCCUACCAGGGGAUUAAUGCAUUAAUUAGGUUAAGGUUUUCAUAAUUCAAUCAUCUCACUUCUAAACCUUCUUGCAUUGUCUUAUACAUGAGCUUUUGGGGGACGUUUAAUAUCUAAACUAGAACACAUAGUGAAUUUUGUUUUUUCUAUAUUCUUUGUUUUACAUUUUAAAAUUGUUUGAGGUGCCACAUUGAAUAAAUAAAUAUAUACAUACAUAUUCAUGUAUACAAACACUAUACUAAAAUACCAUAAAACUGCUACGUAGGACAUACAUCUCUACUCACUUUUUUUUUUUUUGAGAGAGAGAGAGAGAGAGAGAGAGAACUUAUCAAUAUUUAUUUUUCAGUCUUCGGCAGACACAGCAUCUCCCUUGGUAUGUGGUGCUGAGGAGGAUAGAACCUGGGCUGCACGCAUGCCAGGCGAGCGCGCCACCGCUUGAGCCACAUCCCCAGCCCCUCUAAUCACUUCUUAUGAGGACUUGUUGAAGCAAACUUCAAGAGUGGUGGUCUGGCUGUUCCAGUUGGCUACACUCAUAAAAUUUUAAAAAUAACUAUAAAAGAAACUUUUCAAUAAACCUUCCUGAAUUCUUCUCUUGUUUCCAUUCUCUCUGCACUUUGCAAUAAGCCCUUCCCAUCAGGAGCUACUCCUGGAAGUGAAACACUUGCAGGAAUAACUCAUUCUGUUAUUCCUAAGUGUACCUCAAAGACCACCUUCACUGUUUCCCUUCCCUUCUUAUAAUUUUCUUUUGAAUCUUACCUCCAACUCACCACUGGCAGGUGACAGGAGGUAGAGAAACGUGGGCUGAACUUCAGCAGAAGGAAGAAGCAAGGGGUGAAAGAAAUCUGAACGUGAGUCAGAAAUUCAUUGUAGGCAUUGACACUGGAAAAAAAAUUAGAAGAUGACAGUAUGAAUAUAGUCUUCGUUACGUUGACAGAGGCUUGGAUGAGAGUACAAAUAGAAGAGGCUUUGCUAUGAGAGCAGACUGAGCCUCAGGGAUAAGGGAAGAGAAGAAACAGAGCAAGGGGAAAUGUUGGUAAUUUAUUUCCUGAUAAUUUUGCACUACGAAAUUUUUCUAAAGGAGAAAGUAUCUCUGCCCAACAGUAGUGCCAAGUACUUUAUUGUUCUUCCUUCUGCUGACUCAGAAGGAUUCUGGUCUAUGACACAGGACCUAAGAAUUUUGCUUGUGUCAAAUAUUCCAGUGUCCCUGUGGAUCGAAAGGUCCGUGCAGCAGAAUGGAUAUUGUUCCUUAUUACUUUGUCACAUCUUUCCAACAGGUUGGGUAAAGUGGCCUGGUCCUUGGUAGACUGAUUGCUGGGUCAUCUCUCUUACUCUUGCCCUAUGACUUCCUUGUUUUGCAUGGCCAUCUGAGCCUGUUAAUGAUGAUGUGGGGUUGGAAUGGGAAGGAAAGAUCUCAAUUAAGAUUUUGGUUCAAAAUACAGAGCAAAAUUGUACUUCCAGACAUGAUCCCAACUAAUGAUAUUUUUGUGCUUUGAUGUCUACUUAUCUUACUUGAAUGUAAAUCCCUCAGGAAACCCAUGAGGAUGAAGAUUGAUAAGCAAGCCAAGAACUGGAUGCUCCUAUAUUUAUAACUUUCUCAGUUAAUACUGAAAAAAAAAUUAACUUUUUACUUCUAUUACUUUAUACAAGUUGUUAAAUAUGAAAUGUUCUUAUGGAAUUGUAUCACAAAGCCUUGGUAUCUAUAUGCCAAUGUUGCCAUUUUUUCUUUCAUGUUUCUGUGGAUGUUUAAAUGUAUGCUUGGUUGGUUAUUGUGUUAUUUCUUGAGGCCAGAGAUGUUCAUUAACUUCUUUGUGGGGAGCAAAAGGAAGCCCGCCAUAUGCAUACAUUUGUAGGAGAGGGAAAGAACAUUUCCAAGCAGAUUAAAAUUAUACUCUAUGUAUUUGAGAAAUUCCUUUAUGGUAAUUAUGACUAUAUAGCCUCAAUAUGAAAGUGAUUGAAUACAUUUUCAAGAUAGCAGGAAAUGUGUCUCUUAUUUCUGUAGAUACUAUAAUGAAUUUCUAAAAUAAAUAUACACAAAUGGAAUGUUUAUUAAUAACAGUAAGCAGUGGAAUACAGACUGGUUAGGAGCAAAGAGAUAAGCUAGACUGCCCAUGUUCAACUCUCAGAUCUUUCUCAUACUAGAUGAUUAACUCCAACACUUUAAUGACUUUUGUGCAUUAAUUUUGUUGUUUUUCCAACAGGGAUAACAAAAGUGCCUAUCUUAAAAUAUUAUUUUGAGGAUUUGAAGUGCUCACAGCUGGGUCAGGCUCCUAUUCACUUAGCUAAAUUAAAUUGGGAAGAACUGCACCCCAAAUUAGUAUGCAAAGAAACCAAAAUCUGACAAGCAGUGUGUACUUCCUAAAGAGAUAGCCACAACACAGCCAGCUACAACAGUUAACUGAUUGGAUCAUGUCCACACAAGGCAAGCAUCUAGCUGUAUCCAGUUAGACAACUCUAGUUUAAAUUUCGGUGUUCUCUCCCUGUGCAUUCAGCUGCUCACAUGGAGGAACAGAACUCUCUAAACCUUUUCUGCUUGGGUGCUAUCUAAUCAAUGAUUUGUUUUUUGCUAAAAUAAACUCUGUUCAGUAUAUUUUGUAUAAAGUUUUCUUCUAAUCAUUUAAAAUAGAUGUUUGUUUUUAUAUUCUUCUUCUUACUAGUUUACACCUAUAAAAGACACUUGUUGAUAUUAUGUUAAUUUUCCACGGUGUGUUAUUUAAAUGCUAUUUAAAUUACACAACCUUUGACAUCAAGUAAAUAAAAAUUCAGAAUUAUAAUUGUGGAACAAGACUGAGAGGAAAAUGGUGACUCAUGUUAGGCAUUGUCAAAAGAAAAAUACAAAAUUGUGGGCUGAUUAGAGUAAGACACCUCAUAAAUCAAACUACUUAUUUUCUUGUAAUUCUAAUUAAUUUUGCUUCAUAAUUGUGUUGAUUAUAAAAUGUAUGUUCAGAAAACAAUAAAACAAAAAUUAAAAUUAUUAAUGCCAAUGCAGAAAUGACUACAGUUUAUUCUCUCAGCUUCCUUAGGCAUUUUAAUGUAUUUUGUUAUGAGUAUGCUAUUACAUAAUAAACAGAUUCCAUAGAAAACCACUUCCACGAUUUAGAAACAUACCCUUCUUAUUUUCCAUGUUAAUAAAUGCUGAACCUCAAUGUAAUUUGCACUGAUUUCAUGACAUUAUUUCAUAUAUAUUAGCAAAAUUUGAAAUGGUAGCAAGUGAAAUAUUUUCUUUUUCCUUUUAUUCUUGUGAAUAGUUCUUUGAUGAAUAUAUUUAACCUGUGCCUUUGCACUCUCAUUAGAUGAUUUCUCUGGGGUGUAUUUCUAGAAAUGGAAGUGCAGAAUACAUCUGUUCUAAGGCAUCUGCUACAUUUUGUCAAAUUGCCUGCUUAAAUUUGCACAUUCCUGUUAGUAGUAUUGAGAAUGUAUGUUAAUAUGCAUCUAUUCUGGCUGUGGAUAUGUCAUUCUUUUUCACAUUAUUAAUUUCAUAGAUCAAAAUAGUAUUUCAUUGUCUCUUUUCCUUCAUAAUUUUAGGCUUUCUUCUCAUAUGUUAAAAUAUUUUGCAAUUCUAUAAAAAGUGGCCACUUUUCAUUGUAUAAUAACAGGUACACAUACCCAAAGGCAUGCAUACACAAAGACACACACACAUAUGUUAAACAUAGUUACACAUAUGGAAAUAAUGCUGUUUGGCUUUGAUAAAAUAUAUUUUCAUAUACUGCGGAUUUUGGUUUAGUAUUGUGAUGCUUCUCUACUGUUAUUAUUGUGUCAAUGAUUUUUCAACUCUAUAAUGCUCAAUGAUUUGUAUAACUUACAUUGGCAUAAUAUUUGCUUCAUGGCAAUCUUAGCAUCUUUAGGCUGGGGAUGGGUUGGGAUUGACUACACUGUGGCUCCAGGGAGCUUUUGUGGGUGCAUACAUUCUAUAUUUUGCAAAGAUAUUUUCAUGGUUUGUAAAUUUUUCAAAAAUCAUUGGCCCAUAUAUUUUAAAAUUGGUACAUUUUACUAAAUUAUUCUUUCAUAAAGUUGAUUUUUAAAUGAAUUAAAAAUGUAACCUUACCUUUAUUUAUAAGAGCAGGAAAAUAGAAUGGCCCAGUAAUGAAAAUUCAAAAAUCUUUAGGUGAUUGUCUAAUUUGAGAACCAAUUUAAUACUAAUCUCUUUGACACUUUGACAAAAUAUACUGGACCUAGUAUUCUCUUUGUGAAUAUUUAAUGAAUGUUAUAGGCAUGUUUAGGUUUUUUUAAGUUUUCUCUAGGCCCUCUUAGAACUGUACAAUGUUCCUGUACUGUAGAAGUUUUGCCUAUGAUUGGGGGUAUAAAUAGAUUUUUCAAAAUUUGUUUAGUUUUUAACAUUAACACUUCCAAUGUGGUAUUUAUUGUUAAUAACAGAGAUAUUUUGAUUCUUGGUUAGCAAAUUCUUGGUAUUUAAAAUUUGUUCUGACCUUUGUGUUAUAAGAAAUUAUUCUUAUUGACCCCUCCUAAUAUUGUCCCAAAUAGUAUUUUUGGGGACUUACACUGUGAAUGGGAGAAGAUAAGUAUCAUGGUAGAGGCCUAAGUUUCUUUUUUUCCCCUCAAUUAUUGUUUUUUUAAAAUAUUUUAUUGAUUUUAUUUUUUAAAAAUACACAACAGCAGUGGAAUGCAUUACAAUUCUUAUUACACAUAUAGAGCACAAUUUUUCAUAUCUCUCUAUAUAAAGUAUGUUCACGCCAAUUUAUGCCUUUAUACAUAUACUUUGUUUUUUUGCAUUACAAUUCUUAACACACAUAUAUGCCAAAAAUUUUCAUAUCUCUGUUUGUAUAUAAAGUAUGUUGACACCCACCCAAUUCAAGUCUUCAUACAUGUACUUCGUUUUUAAUUGUUAUUAUUUUAAAUCAUCAAGACUUAAAUAUUUGAAAAGCUAAUUAAAGGAUUCAAAUAUAGAAACAGAAGUAUUAAAAGGACAGUUGGUAAAAUAAUAUCCUGAUUAUUGAAAUUAUUUACACAGCAGCAGAGUUACUUCUUUUUUUGAAUAAAGGAAAAAAUAAAAAAGAUUGACAUACAAAGAAGUAUUUUGUGCAGUAAAUCAGGCAAGUUUCAGUGUGGUGAUUUCUGCGUGACUUCCUUUGUCCAGAAGGAAGCAAUGUUAUUUCAGAGUAGUGUGGAGUGCAUUGUGAUUGUUAAAUUAAGGCUUAAUAUGGGACAUUGUCCAAGGAUAGGAACAAGUCUGGGUUAGAUUAAGGCUCAACUGUGAUUAGACAUUUUGGGUUUCUUCUUAUGAUAAAAUUUUAAAAUGCUCUUUCUUAUCUUCACUUCUUAUCUGAAUUUAUUCAUAUAACCAGGCUUAGUAAAGAGUGAUGUCAUUUAACCAUCAUGGUUUACUUCGUUUACUAUGUGUCAUUUAUAGAUCUACGCUGUUUGCAUAUAUCAAAUAGCUUAAUUUGUUUAAAAGUUCUAGGAGUUAGUUGUGAGCUCAAUAUUAUUAUUAUCAUUUUUGGGGGGUGUGGAGAGGAAAAAGGUUUAUUGUUUUGCUAGCAAAGGAGAAACACCAGGGACUACGUCCCAAAGGCUAUGAUUCUGCCCAUCAGCAGGAACAGGGUUUUUUUAAAAAGAUGAUUCAAAGGCAACAUUCCACAUGUUCUCUUUUGGAGUUGUAUUUCACCUGUUAAUUUGGGAGAUAGUCAUUUCUGAGAUCUUCUAGUACCAUCCCAAAAGUCUGAUUUUUUGUUUUUUGUUUUUGUUUUUGUUCCUAUGAAGGGGGUAUAAUUAAUUUCAUUUAAAAAUUUUUGUAGUUGUAGAUAGACAGGAUGCUCUUAUUUUUUAUUUUUUAUGUGGUGCUGAGGAUUGAACCCAGUUCCUUACACAUGCUAGGUGGUAAGUGCUCUGUCACUGAGCUACAUCCCCAGCCCUCAUUCUUGAAUAGCAUAUGCUUCCUCUAAGAUUUACAUUUUAAAAUAAUUAAAUUUUGUUUAGAAUAAUUUUAAAUAGAAUUAUAAGAUUUUAAAUUACUUUUUCUAAUUUCACUGGCUUUCUAAUUUUUAAAAAUCUUACAUUUUUGUUGCUUAGAUCAAUAUUUUAUUAAUUUGCUUUUUCCACAAUAUUUCAUUGACUACUUUUUAUUUAUUAGACAAAUGAGGACCUUUUGCAUCCUUGAGUAUUUCACAGAAUGACCUUGCACAUGAAUAAUAGCUCAAGCCAAAGGGAGAUUUUGCAUUAACAGUUUGUCUACUUGAGAUGUGUUCUAGCAUUUUAACGGAUGAGUCGUGUGAUGGUCAAUCUAGUUUUUAUUUUUCUUUGUGUAUAAGUUAUUUCUUAUCAUGGUUUUAGAAAAAUUUCUUAGUUCCAUAAAUUUAGGAACAAAAACAGAUAAUGGUAAUUAAUAGCAUGAAUAUUUUGUCCCUAGCUUUGCUCAGUGCUUAGUGAGUCCUUUUCUUUGAAGUUGCAAAUAUUUCUUCAGGUUUUAAUGUCUGUAUCUGUAUCUUCCUCCUCACUAAUAAUCCCUGCAAAAAUAAUUGAUGUUUUGUGAUUUUAUUGUUUUUCUAUUCAUAAUUCCUGGCAAGGUUAUCUGGCAUAUUCAUGAAAGUAAUUGAAUUUUUGAAUGAAUUGUCUUAGCAGUUUGAAAAAAAGAAAAAAGAAAGAUUAAGAGCAUACAAAUGGAAUUGCAGGUCAAGGAAGCCAUUAAUGCUGCCAAGUCUGAAGUUAAAUAAAUAAAUAAAUAAAUAAAUAAAUAAAUAAAUAAAUAAAUGGAUGGAUGGAUGGGUUUAAGUAUUUCGUGAGAUGUAGGAAGACCAUAGUAAAGUAUUUUGAAUUAAAUGAAUAGGUCUUGACAUUAUCAAUAGCCAAAGCUUUAGCAACCAAUAAUGCACAGGUUAUAACAUACCAGGAAGCCCUUAAGCCUUUCAGGUGCUGCUAGUAUUCUGCAAUCACGUUUUACAUUUUAAGUGUUUUGAAUUCGCAAUUUGCUUGGGAUGGAUGGUGUUAUGUCUGCAGAAUUCUAAGCUGUUUUUUUCUUACCCCCAGGCACCAAUUUUCAUGAAUGAUACAGAAAUGCCAAGAAUAUAAAUUGAAAGAGAUUACUGACUAUUUUGUGGAAUCUGACCUAUGGAAAAGAAUUUAGUAGUUUCACAAAGGCCCUGAGGAAAUUUUUAAUACUGGCAAAUGGCAAACUUGACAACUGAGAGCUUUGUAGGUUGUUGACAGCUUACCUAUCUAAUUUUAAGGGAUAUAUUUUUCUGCUGCUCUAUGUGGCUGUAUAACUUAUUUACAUUAAAUAAAUCUAUAUCUUUCUUGGAACAGUUGAUUUUUUAAAAUUUUGUUAGCCAAUCAUCCUUGCUUUUGUGAUAGCUUCUAGAUGAGACAAGAAAAAUUCUCAAUGAGCAUAAGUGGAAAAUAAAGAGACAAAGAAAGUGAAAAAGAAAAUUUUUCUAGAGUUUUGAGGAGUAUAAACUUGAUAAUGUGAAAGAGUGAAUGAACAAGGAGAAGAUGAAGGUGUUUAUACUAUAUGGAAGACUCUAACAGCAAAUACACUUUGAAAGAAAAAAAAAAACAACUUUUUUCAUGUGAGUACAAGGUUGUCGAAGCACAAUGCCACCUGUUAUCCAAAGUAAAACCAUCCCUGCUCAGCUGCAGAUAAUGUUGUGCGUCCAAAACAUUAGUUGAAAUAAUUUUUAAUUCAUUUCAUUUUCUCACAACACAACACCAAAGGAACCAAUCACACAGUGGAUUUAUUUUGGGUGAAUCUGUCAAUCAUUAGGUGUUCUCUA